rnacentral:rRNA from 1 species
CCUACGGGAGGCAGCAGUGGGGGAUAUUGCACAAUGGGGGGAACCCUGAUGCAGCUACGCCGCGUGGGUGAAGAAGCGCCUCGGCGCGUAAAGCCCUGUCAGCAGGGAAGAAAAUGACGGUACCUGAAGAAGAAGCCCCGGCUAACUACGUGCCAGCAGCCGCGGUAAUACGUAGGGGGCUAGCGUUAGCCGGAUUUACUGGGGGUAAGGGGGGCGCAGACGGCGAGGCAAGCCAGGAGUGAAAGCCCGGGGCCCAACCCCGGGACUGCUCUUGGAACUGGGUGGCUGGAGUGCAGGAGGGGGAGGUGGAAUUCCUGGUGUAGCGGUGAAAUGCGUAGAGAUCAGGAGGAACACCGGUGGCGAAGGCGGCCUGCUGGACUGCAACUGACGUUGAGGCCCGAAAGCGUGGGGAGCAAACAGGAUUAGAUACCCCUGUAGUC